UACGUAGGGACCAAGCGUUGUUCGGAUUUACUGGGCGUAAAGGGCGCGUAGGCGGCGUGGUAAGUCACUUGUGAAAUCUCUGAGCUUAACUCAGAACGGCCAAGUGAUACUGCUGUGCUAGAGUGCAGAAGGGGCAAUCGGAAUUCUUGGUGUAGCGGUGAAAUGCGUAGAUAUCAAGAGGAACACCUGAGGUGAAGACGGGUUGCUGGGCUGCGACUGACGCUGUGGCGCGAAAGCUAGGGGAGCAAACGGG
rnacentral:rRNA from 1 species